AGGAUACCCAAUUCAAUUUGAAUUUCACAUCAACAACAAAUAAUUGUGUAGUAUAAGUAUAUCCCAUGCAAUAUUUGGGAUAUACUUAUACUAAAAAGGUACUUGGUUUUUAUUUGAAAUUUAAAUGCACCUGAGCAUUUUGUA
ensembl:miRNA